rnacentral:rRNA from 1 species
GAGACUCUGUGCGCGUGCAUAUCAAUAAGCGGAGGAAAAGAAACUAACAAGGAUUCCCCUAGUAACGGCGAGUGAAGCGGGAAGAGCUCAAAUUUGAAAUCUUAAAGGGUUUCCCUUUACGAAUUGUAGUUUAUAAGAAGUGUUUUCUGUUGGAGUUUCGGUAAAAGUUCUUUGGAAUAGGACAUCAUAGAGGGUGAGAAUCCCGUAUUUGAUCGUUACUUUCCAGCUGUGUGAUACACUUUCAAAGAGUCGGAUUGUUUGGGAAUGCAGUCCAAAAUGGGUGGUAAAUUUCAUCUAAAGCUAAAUAUUGGCGAGAGACCGAUAGCGAACAAGUACCGUGAGGGAAAGAUGAAAAGAACUUUGAAAAGAGAGUUAAACAGUACGUGAAAUUGUCAAAAGGGAAGCGUUAGACACCAGUGUUGUUUAGUUGAAAAUCAAUUCAAUAAUUUUUGAUUUUGAGUAGUAUUGACUUCAUCAGCUUGCUGCUUUCUUUUCAGGAAUUAUUGAAUGCACUUUUCAGUUAACAAGUCAACAUCAAUUUCUUUUGUUGUAAAAGGGUAAGAGGAAGGUGGCUUACGCUUCGGCGUAAGUGUUUAUAGCCUUUUACCUCUGCAAUCGGAGAGAUUGAGGACAGCAGCGUAGACUCUUCGGGGUUAGAUACACUUGUGCUAAGCUAUAGCCUUGUAUAGACAACUUGUUGACUAUGCUCAGUCAUGUAGCUUACUCGCUUGUGCUAUUUUACCUACGCUUAGGAUGUUGACAGCAGUAUAGACUGU